rnacentral:rRNA from 1 species
CGGGUGAGUAACGCAUAGGUUAUGUGCCUCUUAGUUUGGGAUAGCCAUUGGAAACGAUGAUUAAUACCAGAUACUCCCUACGGGGGAAAGAUUUAUCGCUAAGAGAUCAGCCUAUGUCCUAUCAGCUUGUUGGUAAGGUAAUGGCUUACCAAGGCUAUGACGGGUAUCCGGCCUGAGAGGGUGAACGGACACACUGGAACUGAGACACGGUCCAGACUCCUACGGGAGGCAGCAGUAGGGAAUAUUGCUCAAUGGGGGAAACCCUGAAGCAGCAACGCCGCGUGGAGGAUGAAGGUUUUAGGAUUGUAAACUCCUUUUGUUAGAGAAGAUAAUGACGGUAUCUAACGAAUAAGCACCGGCUAACUCCGUGCCAGCAGCCGCGGUAAUACGGAGGGUGCAAGCGUUACUCGGAAUCACUGGGCGUAAAGAGCGCGUAGGCGGGAUAGUCAGUCAGGUGUGAAAUCCUAUGGCUUAACCAUAGAACUGCAUUUGAAACUACUAUUCUAGAGUGUGGGAGAGGUAGGUGGAAUUCUUGGUGUAGGGGUAAAAUCCGUAGAGAUCAAGAGGAAUACUCAUUGCGAAGGCGACCUGCUGGAACAUUACUGACGCUGAUUGCGCGAAAGCGUGGGGAGCAAACAGGAUUAGAUACCCUGGUAGUCCACGCCCUAAACGAUGGAUGCUAGUUGUUGGAGGGCUUAGUCUCUCCAGUAAUGCAGCUAACGCAUUAAGCAUCCCGCCUGGGGAGUACGGUCGCAAGAUUAAAACUCAAAGGAAUAGACGGGGACCCGCACAAGCGGUGGAGCAUGUGGUUUAAUUCGAAGAUACACGAAGAACCUUACCUAGGCUUGACAUUGAGAGAAUCCGCUAGAAAUAGUGGAGUGUCUAGCUUGCUAGACCUUGAAAACAGGUGCUGCACGGCUGUCGUCAGCUCGUGUCGUGAGAUGUUGGGUUAAGUCCCGCAACGAGCGCAACCCCCUUUCUUAGUUGCUAACAGGUCAUGCUGAGAACUCUAAGGAUACUGCCUCCGUAAGGAGGAGGAAGGUGGGGACGACGUCAAGUCAUCAUGGCCCUUACGCCUAGGGCUACACACGUGCUACAAUGGGGUGCACAAAGAGAAGCAAUACUGCGAAGUGGAGCCAAUCUUCAAAACGCCUCUCAGUUCGGAUUGUAGGCUGCAACUCGCCUGCAUGAAGCUGGAAUCGCUAGUAAUCGCAAAUCAGCCAUGUUCGGUGAAUACGUUCCCGGGCCUUGUACACACCGCCCGUCACACCAUGGGAGUGGGUUGCACAAGAAGUAGGUAGCUUAA